rnacentral:lncRNA from 1 species
CUAAUUGCCCUUAGUGCCGGGCCUAGACCACUGCUUUGACCCAUGGGCUAGCACGACACAGCACAAUUAUUAUCCGGACCACACCGUGUUGGGCGUGCCGGGCCAAACUGUGCCCAGGCCGGGCUGGGCGCCCGUUUGACCAUCUAUACCUGUAGCGAUGAGUGGAUUGUAAGUUAGAAACCUACUAUCAUCUCAAAACAAGGUGGUGGUAUAUAGAGCGCACUAGGUGGUGGUAUAUAGAGUGCAUUAGGUGGUGGCAUAUACAUCAAACACCUCGGGAACCUAUAGUAGUGAGUAUAGUAGUGAGUAGAUUGUAUGUUAGAAACCGUUCAUCAUCUCCAAACAGGCUACGCAUACCUAUGGAUAGAAAGGUAUACAUGGCCUGGCGGGCACCUGAGAGUGAUUAGUCAGACAAUGGCUGGACCCAUAAAGAAGAUUAUCUUUUCCUCUAAAGAAACACCCUCUCAGAGAAUAUCCUGGGCUACUUAAUACGAGGGAAAAGAAUCUUGUCAGCAACGAACUCUCUAUACCUUCUAUAAACUGUGCACAACAAAAUAUGUAUGGGAAUGAACAAACAAUUUGGUCCAACAUUUAAAUUAAAUUAGGGAACCCAAUUGUCUACAUACUACCUCUAGUCACUAAGACUCGUCGUGUCAUACAAGUAGAACAGCCUGUCUUGCGCUACUUCUCCUUGUCUGAAAAUCGCCUUGUUUUGCGCUACUAUAUAGUAGUAUGUGCCUUGAACAAAAAGCAAUAUUAAAUAAAGGCUCCACUUUGUUGGAACGGAUUCAUUUCAUUUGUUUUUUGUAUAAGCAUCCUACUUUUAAGGUGACUGAACCUCAAUCAUCCCCACCACAAAGAAGAGGAGAUGACCACAAACAAGAUGAUUGAACAGCAGAGUGAUCCAGGACACGAUUUGACCAUAAAGAGGGGCAAAACAAAUGAGUAAAGCACGUGGGUGAACACUGAAAAGGAGAGGA